GGCUCCCGUAGCCCAGUUGGUUAGAGCGCCGCACUAAUACUCCAAUCAGAGUGUCUGGUAAUGAGAAGGCCGCUGGUUCAACCCAAGGCGGGACCA